rnacentral:misc_RNA from 1 species
UUUCCGUAGGUGAACCAGCGGAGGGAUCAUUACAGGACUCGCAAGACUCCUACAACCCUGUGAACUUAACUAUAAGCACGUUGCUUCGGCGGGUGUCUCGGAGGGGGUUCUCCCUCCCCGAGACGCUAAACCCGCCGGCAGCCUACUAUACUCUGUCUCUUUGCGUUGGCAUCUCGAGUACAAUCAAACAAGUUAAAACUUUCAACAACGGAUCUCUUGGUUCUG